CAAAGAGUCAGACACAACUGAGCAACUGAACAACAGCACCCGAGACAGAGGUUCAUCAAGCCAGAGAAUGUCAAGGCUAUGUUCUCAUGCUGAAGGGAUCUUAGCAAGUAUCUGUUCCUUUCCCAGCAUAUGCCAGAUCAUAGAGACUGGAUAAAGGAUGACACGGGAGCCGAGGAGGAGAGUAACCAGGAAUGGGCCAAGAGGCAAAGCUCACUUAUUCAUUCAUUCAUUCAACAAAUAAACUCUUGAGAACCUACUGUGUGCCAGACACUGUUCUGAGCCAUGAAGAUUGUGCUGUGACCCACAUCAAGGAAAUCCCCUGCCCGCCGUCUCGAAGCUUGCAUUCUAGUGAUGAGAGGGAGCAGAGUCUUUCUCCAGAGCCCUGUUCUUUCCAGCCACAUGAAAAAGACUGUUUUAUCCAGUGCUGCCCAAGACAGGAUUCUCAGUCUGCCUACCUCUGUGAUUCAGUUCGAAAGAUUAUAUGGCUAUCAUACCAAGCCACAUACCAAAGCUCAGCUUUAUUAAUAAAAAGGAAAUAUAGCUGAAGAUGUCAAAGAAAUCAGAAGACAGUGAAAAGAAAGUGGAAGCAAUUUAAAAAGGUGUGGAUUAAAACUUUGUAUAAAAAUUAAAGUACAAUGUGAAUUAACAGAUAAUAAUGGGAAUCCUUGAGCACUGUUGAUGGAACUGUUGAUGGAACUGCUGCAGCCACUAUGGAACACAGUAUGGCAGUUCCUCAAAAGAUGAAAAAUAGAAAGAACUACCUUAUGCAAGUCAUUCCAGGGUAUGCAUCCAAAGAAAAUGAAAACAGGAUACCAAAAGAUAUCUGCACUCCCACGCUCACUGCAGCAGCAUUCACAACAGCUAAGUGUUCUGAAGGCUGCCUGUACCUGGAUGAAUAAGUUUUUAAAACUGGAAUUCAAUGAUCGGAAGCCCACUUUCCUCCUAAGUCAUAUCCUUCAGCUUAAACUUUGUCCACAAUAAAGCCCACAGAAGAAGGAAAGCAGAAGGGAAGGAGUUUUCAAAGAUGUGCAGGACAACAGAAGCCAGAAAUAAGAGCUCCAGUCUGAUCAGGAGAGUGAUCUCCUAUUUACUAGAUGAUGAGCGGCAGCCAAUUGCCUGCCAGAGGAGAGUUGCAUCACUAUACCAGAAAUGUACAGAGAAAAGAAUAGGUUAACACACUCAGAGGCCCUUGGAUGAAGGGUGUGAAGACCUUGAGGAAUUAGUGGCAGCGAAGGCAGUGAGCCUUCCCCCAGCUCUGGCACCUCAACUGUGGGUGAGUCAGGACCUCAGUGUGAAGCCAGCAUCACUUCCUUCUGCAGCCGCUGGGCUCCCUUUCGGCUGCGGGGCUGAAGAGGAGGAAGACAGAAGUAAGCCAUACUGGGGAGUCUGGUGAAGAGUCUGGGUGAUGAAGGCUCAAACUGAGGCUUUGGAGAGGCCUAUGUUUCAGGUUUUAUGUCUGAGAUCUUCCGAAGGACCCAGUGCUGGCACUAAUGGAACACCUCAUAUUGGAUGGAGGGUCUGCAGAGCUUCAUUAAAGAACAUCAGCAUACUAUUUCUGAUCAUCUGACAGCAUUCUGGGUGCACUCACAAUAAUUGGCCCGUGUCAAACAUUGUUCUCUUUCCACUUGUACCACUCUGAGAUGGAUUGAAACUGUGAGAAAGUACCAACUAAUCCCUCCCCAACCUCAGUAAAAGUGAUAUGCAAGAACUGAGCACAUCACAACAGACUCAACGACAAAUGAAAGCCCAUCUGCCUGGACCAGCUAAUAACUGAAGAAAAGGGAAGGAAACAAAGUUGAUGAGUAAUGGACUUUGGGCUGGAAAAUGACAGGAUCAAGGAAACAGUAGGGACACAAAGUUGGGAGGUUUGUUGAAAGCAUGUGCAACUCCAUGAAAUAACAGUUUCAGAGAUCAAGGUGAAACAUUUUCCCCCUUCAGGUAAGGAAGAAACUGUGUGUGAGCAGAAUUAGAAAGAGGCAAAAGACCAAGUGAAAUAUCAUCACUCAUCAUAAAUGGUACUAAAAUAGAACCACUGAGAAGAUUAUUGAGACAAUGACUUUCUUUCCAAAAGGGUAAACCCUGUCAACAGGAGGAGGUAAAAACCGCAGUCAACAGCACUGAGCGAAAAGUAGGAAGAUUUCAGGCAACUUAAAAAGAAAAAAAAGUCUUUAAAGAUAUUAGUGACUCUUUUCCACAAUUCCAUGAAGGUUCUGCCCAUCAGGAAAAUAUUCCGCUGUAUUCCAUAGCAAUAUAUCUUAUUUUUUUAAUAUGCAGCAACACCAGCCAACUGGUGAGGUAGACACACUGAACAGCUACCUUGGCACUCGGGUCUUAAUAUCCAUUCAGAGGGUUAACUUUCAGCAAAGCCAAAAAGAUGACAGCCAGAUAAAACAGUCAGUCCUCAGGGUGGAAAAUCAUGUUGCCAGCGCCAGACCAGCCAAAAUAUAAUUUCUCCUGUGUCUUCUCUCCAGGAAGUACUUCUGAAAAACACCUUUCCAGCACAAUAGUCAUGGAAUCCAAUUAUAUAUUUUUAGACACCACUAACCAUUCUUUUUUUUAUUUCUUCCAUUUCAAGAAAACUCUCCACAUCUGGAAAGAACAGCAACGAAGAACAGGAACUGGCGCGUUCAUGCGCAGCUCCUACCGGGCAUGUUUCAUUUAAUUUCCUCCGUUUUUAUGAUAUUUUCCUAUGCUGCUACUCCAGACGUUCAAUAAAACACCUCGCCGCCGAGAAACCAUAGGGGAAGGAAAACCUAAAGAAAAUCUGAUGGAAGAUCUGAGAGUGAGAUGACCUCAGCCACGAGCACAGGCCUCAGGAGCGUCUGUUCCGGCUUCUAAGCACCGCUUCCCCGGGGUCUCUCCUUGGUCUGUGCGCAUCAACGCUGCCUCCGUGUGCACUCUGAUCCGCCGCCAGACGAACGGGCAUGCUGUCCUUCUGAGCUUGUUUUCUGUAGCCUGUCUUCCUUGCAGUGUCAGGCUGUAUUGUCUAUUCAGUUUUCCAAACUUCAGCCAUCCAGUCCACGAUCAGUUUUUUCCCCAGGGCAGUUGAGAAGUCAUUUCUAUCUUUUUUGUUUUUUAAGAAGCAAGAACCAGCUAUGAAUACAAUCUAGAGCAACAAUAUGGUCUAGCGUAGACAGGGAAGAAACAGAUAAGAGAUAAAGAGGUCAAAACACCAGCCAUGACCUCAGCUGGAAGCAUGAUGGAGAAGCAGGGCAAACGUAGUGCCUAGGAAAAGCCAUCUGUUUAGAAAAAGAUGUCAGGAGUGCUAAAACCUUUUUGGAUCCUGAUUGCAAUUUUUGGGGGUAAAUCCCAGACGUGGAAUUGCUGGAUCUCAAGAUAUCAUUCUCCACUAAAAGGAACUACAGCUCCUUGGAGGAAUUUCUGAUUCCUGGGCUGGGAAAGGGAAAAAACAGAUCUAUCUUCACUUGAUUCGCUGGCCCUGUCGUUAGAAUUUGCCGAGCCUCCCCCUUUGAGGGGACCUUUGAACUUGCUCUUUUGGUACCUGGAAUGAUCUUCUCUCAAGUUUGCAUGUGGCUCUCUGCAUCUUGUUACUUGGUUCUCUUAUAAAAAUAUCCUCGGAGGGUCCUUUCCUGACCACCCUAACACAGGGCUAUUCCCAUCCCGAUGCUGCCAGAGUGGGUUCUGGUCCCCUUUGGCGUGGGAGUGAUAAAAGGACGCCAUAAGGGGAUCUUCCCAACCCAGGGAUUGAAUCCAGGUCUCCCG